GGGACACGUGGUAUCCUGUCUGAAUAUGGGGGGACCAUCCUCCAAGGCUAAAUACUCCUGACUGACCGAUAGUGAACCAGUACCGUGAGGGAAAGGCGAAAAGAACCCCGGCGAGGGGAGUGAAAAAGAACCUGAAACCGUGUACGUACAAGCAGUGGGAGCACCUUCGGGUGUGACUGCGUACCUUUUGUAUAAUGGGUCAGCGACUUAUAUUCUGUAGCAAGGUUAACCGUAUAGGGGAGCCGCAGGGAAACCGAGUCUUAACUGGGCGUUAAGUUGCAGGGUAUAGACCCGAAACCCGGUGAUCUAGCCAUGGGCAGGUUGAAGGUUGGGUAACACUAACUGGAGGACCGAACCGACUAAUGUUGAAAAAUUAGCGGAUGACUUGUGGCUGGGGGUGAAAGGCCAAUCAAACCGGGAGAUAGCUGGUUCUCCCCGAAAGCUAUUUAGGUAGCGCCUCGUGAACUCAUCUUCGGGGGUAGAGCACUGUUUCGGCUAGGGGGUCAUCCCGACUUACCAA
rnacentral:rRNA from 1 species